GCUGAUCUGCUAUGUUAUGUUCUGUAGUGUGUGGAAGCCAUGAUAUGCUCUUCUUUUCUAUGUUUUACUGAAAUCUGUUCUGCCUAAAAGCUCAAAAAAUUCAAGCCUAAGUUGUAAGUACUACAACUCUUUUUUUUUCUCUUUUUUUUAUUUGAGGGGAAAAGUAUUACAACUCUACGAGUAAUAAAAUUCCUCAAAGUAUUUUACUUUAAAAAAAGAAAAAAAAAAACUCUACAAGUGACAAAAUAAAAACUUGUUUAAAAAAAAACAAAAUAAAAACUUUACAGGUUUAUAUUGCUCGAUUCUUUCUCCCACUUAGAAAUGAUGAACCCUAACAUACCUCCAAUUGAUUGAUCGAAACUCCCAAAUUGAUUGCUCGAAUCUCCCAAAUUGAUUGCUCGAAUAUUUUAUUACUCGAUUACUCAUUUCUGCUUGAUUCCCUUUCGCCUGAAGUGCUUCCAAUUGAUACGAUAGAAUUGCUGGAUACAAUUCUCUCUGCUGCUCAAUUUUCGUUUGAGUAAUCGCCCAAAUCGAAAGUUUCAGGAAUCAAGAUCUAGAUGGACAUUAUGAGAAAGCUAGACAAGCUAAGCAAGGAUAGAACAAAAUAGAAUCAGAAUGAGGGAUUUGGGGGUUACAUUAAUGUUUUAUACACUGAAACAGUCGAUGAAGGGAUCAAAAUAAACAAAAAAAAAGUAAAAAGGCGACUAAAGAUUCCUACUGAAACAGUGGAUGAAGGGAUCGAAACAAACAAAAAAAUAAGUAAGAAGGUGACUAAAGAUACUGACGAGUAUACACCCGAUGAAAAGGGAGAAUUGAACCACUCAAGUGAAGAGGAUUAAAAUCAGAUAAGGAAAAACAGUGUAAACUUGAGGUCUCGUUAAAAAAAGCUGCUACUGUUGUUUUUUGUUGUUGCUUCUGCUACUUUUUGGUGCUACUCCUGUUUUUUUGCUGCUACUGCUGUUUUUUUGCUGCUACUGCUCUUUGUUGCUGACUCUUGCUGGUGCUGUUUGCUGCCACUGCUUCCUGCCACUUUUAUUUGCUGCUACAUGAUGUCUGCUAGAAGCUCUGUUGCUGCUGAUGUUGCAAUUAUUCUAGCAUUUGUUUCUUUAAUUUUUUUUUCACUUUUUUUAGAUAGAGAUCGAAGUUAAUUUUCUUUUUGUUUUGGUUAUCAUCUUGUUUGGCCAAACAUUAAAAUUGGUGUGUAUGGAUUUUUUUUUUGAAAGAAUUAUGAAAUUAUUUCAAUUCAAAUAUUAUCUAUCAUAUUUGUUAGUU